rnacentral:lncRNA from 1 species
CAAAUUGGGCCCAUGCCAUCUCCAAGUGGAGGUUCCUGAAAAUGACCCGGUUAAGAUUCAUGCGGGUUUUUAAGAAGGGACUUGUGCAACCACAUCUCAAGUUUUCUAGUGACUCCUGGACUUUAAAACAUAAAACCUUCUUUAAUGCCUUGUGGUUACUUUUCAAAGGCAUUGUCUUUACACGUGGCCCCUGAGAGCCGCUUUGGUUUGCUAGAAUCCAGGAUGGGUGAGGUGGUGUGGUUUACCUUUUAUUUUUGCUCCUGCCCCCUGUUACUUCGAAGACAUCAUUUGAAGACAUAAUUCAACACGCUUACUCACACAUAAGCGUGUGGUUUAAAACACAGGGGAGCGAUGAUUAUGUUUCUUGCAGAGACAUUUAGCCAGGUAUCGUGGAAGAAGAUGGGGCCCUCGCUUCCUGCCUCACAAGGUGCAGGACCUCCGUUCUAAAUGGUGAUAUUUAACAAGACCAGGUAGGAUUCCUUUUAUUUCUUUUACAUCUCUGAUUGCCGUGGCUGGGACUUCCAAAACUGUGUUGAAGCGUAGUGAUGAGUGGACAUCCUUGUCCUGUUCCUGAUCUCAACGGGAAUUCUUUCAGCUUUUCACCGUUGAGAAUGGUGUUCCCUGUGGGUUUGUCAUAUAUGGCCUUUAUCAUGUUGAGGUAGGUUCCUGUUAUGCCCACUUUCUGAAGGGUUUUUAUCAGAAAUGGCUGUUGGAUUUUGUGAAAGGCUUUUUCCACAUCUAUUGAGAGGAUCAUAUGGUUUUUAUUCUUCAGUUUGUGAAUGUGGUGUAUCCCACUGAUGGAUUUGUGGAUAUUGAAGACCCCUUGCAUCCCUUGGAUAAAUCCCACUUGAUCAUGAUGUGCAAUCCUUUCAAUGUAUUGUUGGAUGUGGUUUGCUAGGAUUUUGUUGAAGAUUUUUGCAUCGAUGUGCAUCAGUGAAAUAGGCCUACCANCUAGCAAUCCCAGAUCUGUGCAUCUAUCCAGAGAAAACCACAACUGGCAAAGACACGUGUACUCCGAUGUUCAUUGCAGCACUAUUUGUAGUAGCCAAGACAUGGAAACAACCUAAAUGUCCAUUGACAGAGGAGUGAAUCAAGAUGUGGUACAUGGGAGUUCCAUCGUGGCUCAGUGGUUAACGAAUCUGACUAAGAACCAUGAGGUUGUGGGUUUGGUCCCUGUCCUCACUCAGUGGAUUAAGGAUCCGGCAUUGCCAUGAGCUAUGGUGUAGGUUGCAGAUGCGGCUUGGAUCCUGAGUUGCUGUGGCUCUGGCAUAGGCUGGCGGCUACAGCUCUGAUUCGACCCCUAGCCUGGGAACCUCUCUAUGCCAUGGAAGCGACCCAAGAAAUGGCAAAAAGACCAAAAAAAAAAAAAAAAAAAA